UUAUUAUUCCCUCCGUCCGGAAAUACUUGUCGUAGAAAUGCAUAAAAAUUGAUGUAUCUAGAACUAAAAUACAUCUAGAUAUAUCCAUUUCUCCGACUAGUAUUUCGGGACGGAGGGAGCAUUUG
rfam:Triticum aestivum genome assembly, contig: Triticum_aestivum_CS42_TGACv1_scaffold_576885_7BL